UACGUAGGGUGCUAGCGUUGUCCGGAUUUAUUGGGCGUAAAGGGCUCGUAGGCGGCGUGUCGCGUCGGGAGUGAAAGCUCGCCGCUCAACGGCGAGUCGGCCACUGAUACUGGGUUGCUGGAGCACUGUAGAGGCAGAUGGAAUUCCGGGUGUAGCGGUGGAAUGCGUAGAGAUCCGGAAGAACACCGGUGGCGAAGGCGGUCUGCUGGGCAGUUGCUGACACUGAGGCGCGACAGCGUGGGGAGCAAACAGG
rnacentral:rRNA from 1 species